UACGAAGGGGGCUAGCGUUGUUCGGAAUUACUGGGCGUAAAGCGUAUGCAGGCGGAUCGUUAAGUCGGGGGUGAAAUCCCGAGGCUCAACCUCGGAACUGCCUUCGAUACUGGCGACCUUCGAGUCCGGGAGAGGUGAGUGGAACUCCGAGUGUAGAGGUGAAAUUCGUAGAUAUUCGGAAGAACACCAGUGGCGAAGGCGGCUCACUGGCCCGGUACUGACGCUGAGGCACGAAAGCGUGGGGAGCAAACAGG
rnacentral:rRNA from 1 species